rnacentral:rRNA from 1 species
UACGUAGGGCGCAAGCGUUGUCCGGAAUUAUUGGGCGUAAAGAGCUCGUAGGCGGUCUGUUACGUCUGCUGUGAAAACCCGGGGCUUAACCCUUGGCUUGCAGUGGAUACGGGCAGACUAGAGGCAGGUAGGGGAGAAUGGAAUUCCCGGUGUAGCGGUGAAAUGCGCAGAUAUCAGGAGGAACACCAAUGGCGAAGGCAGCACUCUGGGACGUGACUGACGCUGAGACGCGAAAGCGUGGGGAGCAAACAGG